rnacentral:rRNA from 1 species
AAAUUUUCAACAACGGAUCUCUUGGUUCGGGCAUCGAUGAAGAACGCCGCGAAAUGCGAAAAGUAAUGUGAAUUGGCAGAACUCAGCGAAUCAUUCGAUUCUUGAACGCCUAUUGCGCCCGGGAUUAUUCUCCCGGGCAUGCCUGUUCGAGCGUCAUUU